rnacentral:misc_RNA from 1 species
AGUUAAAUAGUACGUGAAAUUGUUGAAAGGGAAACGAUUGAAGUCAGUCAUGCUAGUGAAAAAUCAGUUUGACGGGUUUUGAGUUCAGGAGUAGAGGCAGGGUCAAACCGUUUCUCUUUUGGACUUGGGAUUUGUUAGAUGUACUUUUUCUUUGGCAGGUCAGCGUCGAUUUCGGAGGUUGUAAAAUACUUGGGGGAAAGUAACUCUGCUUCGGGAGAGUAUUAUAGACCCUGGGGGAUGCAGCCUGCGGGAUCGAGGAUUGCAGCAAAUGCCUUUGGCUUGUCGCCUGAUCUCUGGAUGUUACCUCGCUUGUGACAACAUUCUUGCCACCUGUGGGUACUAAUGCCCAUUAGGUUAGAGCGAUCAAAAAUUUUGCUAAGGAUGCUGACGUAAUGGCUUUAAA